UGUGGCUCAGUGGUAGAGUGCUUGCCUUGCAAGCAGGAGCCCUGAGUUUGAAUCCUCAGCA
rnacentral:tRNA from 1 species